AAUAAGGAAGGCGUUCAGGAAGAAGGAAAAAGAUACCAGAUAGAAGCUUGGAGCUACAGAGAAGAAUAAAACACAUUGGAAAUGGAUUCAAGAGAAGAGUCACAGUAAAGAGUUUCGAUAGCACCUGACGCACAGUGAUUUUAACCGGUCCCAUGUUUUAAACGUCAUCUAUUAUAUAUGCUGCAGACUUCCAAAUGUUUACCUCCAGUUCUGAUCUCGCCACUGGAUACCAAACACGGGUAGCAAUCUGCCUACAGGAUG